GGCUGUUUUUCUCCCAAAAGCCUGAAAUCUCUUCACCAUGCUGUGGGCUCCUCUCAUCCUCCUGCUGGGGACGUGGUGCACAGGGUCCAGUUCCCAGCCGGUGGUGACUCAGCUGCCUUCAGUGUCAGUGUCCCCAGGAAACACCGUGAAACUCUCCUGCACCGUCAGCAGUGGGAACAGCAUCAGUGACUAUGACGUACGCUGGUACCAGCAGCAACCUGGGAAUUCUCCACGAUACCUGCUCAGAUACAAGUCAGAUUCUGACAAGUACCAGGGCUCUGGGGUCCCUGCUCGCUUCUCUGGUUCCAAAGACACGGCCAGUAACACGGGCUAUUUGACCAUCUCCGGGGCUCUCGCAGAGGAUGAGGCUGAUUAUUACUGUACUAUAUGGCACAGUGAUGCUUGGCACAGUGACACAGGGCAAUGCAGCUCCUCACCAGUCUUCCUGCGCUCUCUUCCCGCUGUCUCUGUGGGGAACUGGGUGGAACAUCUCUGCCCUUCUCCCUCCUUCUAUCUCUGCUCAUGA